UACGUAGGGUGCAAGCGUUGUCCGGAAUUAUUGGGCGUAAAGAGCUCGUAGGCGGCUUGUCGCGUCGAAUGUGAAAACUCGGGGCUCAACCCCGCGCUUGCAUUCGAUACGGGCAGGCUCGAGUUCGGUAGGGGAGACUGGAAUUCCUGGUGUAGCGGUGAAAUGCGCAGAUAUCAGGAGGAACACCGGUGGCGAAGGCGGGUCUCUGGGCCGAUACUGACGCUGAGGAGCGAAAGCGUGGGGAGCGAACAGG
rnacentral:rRNA from 1 species